UGUUCAGGGACAAUCUAGUGUAGGUGCGAGCAAACAAUGUUAUCAUAAACUGCAAUUUCGUUUGGAAUUAUAGAAAGAUUGUGUUACGUAUGGUGAGAAAGUACGAUGAAAAAAUAUUCUAUUUAUUUUUGUACGUAAUAUUGCGUUUCGUAUAUCACGAUGAAUCAGUUUUGAUAUAUUUUCUGCGAUCCCACUGAAGAAGACAAAAGCAUAUUCCUAUAUAUAUGUUUUUACCACAACUCUAUUUUAUCUUUUAGCGUUAAAUAGACCUCAAUACCAAACAAAACCUGCACCUACUUUAGCUUUUGCUUCUGCUUUUACUUACAGUAGUUUUUGAAUUUAUUACGUAUUUAUUAAGAAAAAAUAAAACUUCAAAAUUUCUACUAUGGCGUAAACUAAAUGAGAUUUUGAGUUUUUUUUUUUAAAUGUCUAAUUUGAUUUUCUGUUAUUAUAAUAAAAAUAAGUAACAAUAAUUUUCUAAUAUCACUUACUUAGACAAAGUGCGCCCUUUAUCAACUAGUAUUACUUUGAUUUCAACAUUUAAACUAAUUAUUUAUUUUAAUAAAUAUAUAGUUGUCAAAAUUGUAUAAAUAUAUUAAUUAAAUCUGUGAAGAUAAACGACAUAUUCAAAAUUUUUAAAGUUAAAGUGUUGUUGAUUAAUACAAAUCAAACAGAUUAAAAGUUUGAUUGAAUAGUCAAUUUAAAAUAAUCCAUAAUUCAAAUAAAUUUAUACAUGUUAAUCUAAUAUAUAUAGUCAUUUUAAAAAAUAUUACCAUACUAUA
rnacentral:lncRNA from 1 species